AGAUUUCUCAUCUGUUCUGCUUUCCUACUUCAAUAUAUACAACUUCCUCCAGUAUCUAUGUCUACCAGUGGAGUGGUACAUUUGUUGUGAUUGAUGAGCUCAUAUUGAUAUAAUCACACAAAACCUUUAGUUUAUGUUGUUAGAUUUGUUAUACAUGCGUUUGGAAAAAUGCAUAUGAGAGGAAUGAGUCAUGAUCGUAUUAUACAGAAAAUUCUCAUUGCUAUGCAAUUUUGGGCUCUAUUUAUUUCUCCCUUGUUCCUGCUUAACUUCUGACAUUCACAUUUAUUUAUUUAUUUACUUAUUUACUAUUUAUACCCUUUGCCUUUUCUAGAAUGUCAUCAGGUUGGAAAUUAUAACUGUAGUUUCUUCUACUUGGUAAUAUACAUUGAAGUUUCCUCCAUUAUUUUCUGACUUUUUUUUUUUUUGUCUUUUUCAUUUUUUUAUCGGUACCGGGGAUCCAACUCACGACCUCCUGCUUGCAAGGCAGGUGUUUAUGCCGCUGAGCUAAAUCCCCAGCCCCUAUUUUCAUGGUUUCAUAGCUAAUUUCAUUUUAGCAUUGAAUACAAUUUCAAAUUCCAGAUGUAUGAGAAUUUCCUUCAUCUGCUGAAGGACACUGAUCUUGUAUUCACAUUUUGACAGUUAUGACUGGAUGCCAAACAGCCACGCACAGGUUGCUGUGUGGACAUAAGUAGGACUGCUGGAUCAUGUCACAAGAAGUUUGGUCACUCUCUGCUGAGUGGAUGGCCUAGAUGAGUCCAUUCCAGGACACUCAUGGUCAGAGUCCCCCUUUCAGGACCUGCUGCACUAUUCUGAGAAAUUCAUACUCUGGCCCUAGUAUUGGUUUCUCAGCCUAAUUCACAUUGUAAGAUGGAAGAAGGACAUUUUAUAUUGAACAACAGUUAAAAUUUUUAAUAAAACUUUGGAGCAAAACUUAAAGAUCCAUUUCAGUUCCUAUAAAGAAGUUUCACAUAUAGGAAGACAACUACUCCUUAAUAUUCCUGAAGUAUGGGGGGCUGUUUGUUCCGAGUCCCCCCAGGGGACCCUAAAAUCAUCAGAUAUUCAAUUUUUUUUGUGUGUAAAUGCAAUAGUAUCAGCAUAUAACCAUGCAUCCUUCUAUAUGCUUUAAAUCAUCUCUAGAUUGCCAUAGUAUCCAAUAUGAUACAAAGAGUUGUUACAAUGGAUUGCUUUGGGGAACAACAACAAGAGAACUAUUUUUUGUGAAUAGAUUUGCUCUGUGAUUGGUUGAAUCCAUGGACGCAGAACCCAUAGAAAUGGAAGGGUGACCGUAUACUUAUUUAACAAAAUAAACAUCCUAGUCUAAUGGUAGGGUUGAAUCCAUGGAUGCAGAACCCAUAGAAAUGGAAGGGUGUCCGUAUACUUAUUUAACAAAAUAAACAUCCUAGUCUAAUGGUAGGGGGAGAACCACAUACAUUACCUUACAGAGUGCUGCUGCACAUUAGGAAAUUUAUCUCCAAAGAAAUUCUCUGUCUCUGAUUUCGUCAGCUGUUGGUUCUGUCACUGCUCACAUAGUACACAGUAGGGGAAUUAGUUCAGGAUUCCAAUGUUUGAAAAUGUUUUAGAACAUGUAGUUGUGGUGGAUAAAAUUGUCCUGGUUUGGUUAAAGCUGAAAUAAUGUAGUUGCAUUUUAAAAUUGCUUCAUGUAUGCUGGUGUUUUUUUGUUAUGUUGAUGUUAUGGUUUGAGAACUGGUGGUCAACUUAACGCCAGCUGGAUUACAUCAGCAUGCAUUGAGAGAAGAUGCUCCACCUGAGGAGGGUUGCCAGGAUAAAUAGGUGGAGAAGAAGAGAGGUGUUGAGAGGGAUUGAGGCGUUAAGGAGACAUUGUGGCUUCUCCUACGAGUUGCUGUCUGUGCUGUUGGUUCUCCUGGAGAAGCUUUGGUCUUCACAUCAAGCAUUGCUUCCUGGCUCCGGAAGGGAAGACAUGUGCUGCCUGGUCUCCAGGAUGAACUCGUCACGCUGCUUCCUGGCACGUACCUGACUGUGUUUGUCGUCAGAGGAGCUUGGGGCCUCUGUGUCGCUGAGGACAACUGUGGUGCCUUUCAGGACAGCCCUGCUCUUUGUUGUGAGUGUGACUUCUGGGCUCCAGUGUAGAACACUCAUCCCACUAGCACAGCUCCUUCAUCCUGCUGGCAUAGACUUUCUGGCUUCCACCGCUGACCCUUGGGUCUUCCCGGCACGAAUCCGUAAAAAAGAGACUGGUUUGAGUCCUUCUUGUGGGCUCUGGACUUCCAGCUGGACUCGUUGGAGGCGUUGUCCUGAGCUCUGGGUUUUUAUCUGGACUCAUGUGGGACAUUGCCGUGGGGUUUAGACUCUUGACUAAAUAAUCUAUGUCGUUGGUGUUACGGAUAGAUUUUCUGCAUUCUCCUGUGUUAACUUCUGGUAACCAUUAUAAAAAUAUUAUAAACUCCAUGUCGUGAUCUGAAUUGUUCUUUGUGUACAACCCCUGACUACAGCAGUUGAUUUGUAUUUUGAUUCUUGCAUCAAACCUGUACAAUUGCACUGUACUGUCAUAUAAUAUUUUCUUCUAAAAUUUCUAAUUGUUCUUCUUUAUCCACUGUGCUUUAAUAUGUGUUUCAACCAUUGUCAUUAUUCAAUGUAGAGUUCAAAUAUUUAAAAACCAAAUAAAUGUUAAUCAUUUGAUUAUCCAAAA